rnacentral:lncRNA from 1 species
UGGUGUUGAAUUCAAUUAAGACAAUCAAUACUAUUUUGUCUUUCUUUUAUAUAAUGGAGGAAAUGACACAAAGAUGUUUGUUAGUAUAUGAUAUAUAAAAAAGAAGGUUCUUAUAUUGAGUAUAAGAAGUUGUCUUAACGUAAAAUAGUUCAUUUAGUGACAUGUCAGAGUCUCUUUCAAUUGAGAGGUAAUUUGUUGAGUGUUGACGAUUGCAGCCAUAAAGUCGGGGACAGAAAAUACAAACAACCAUGAGAUGGUUGAAGUGUUGCAAGGACAUAAAAAUUUUGGACGUCUAUGAUCGAAAAAUAAUAUGCUCCUUCGUGAGUUGAAGAAUAUACGGUCUUUUCAAGAAAUAUUUUGACCAAUUUAAAGAAAAGAAAUGGUUGAAGUGCAACUGUUAUCAAACAUAUUUAUAAUCCACAUCACAAGUAUAGAUAGUCUAUCAAGGGGUCCAAGAUCAGAAAUGCAACAUCGCAUGAAAUCGUUGGUCAAUGGUCAUUAUGGGUUUCGUGUAGUUGCAGGCAUACAUGAUAUGUUUGUUUAAGAUUGUCAUAUUAUACGUCUUAAACUUUUAAAAGACCUGAAUAGUGAUCGGAAACGUUUGUUGGAACAAAAUUGGUUUUGUACAAUGCCUCUGAUGUUUUGAUGAUAACAAAGUAUUGAAGAAUAAUUGGAUAUGUUAAUACGUGCUUAAGUGUGCAGGACCAUAGAUUAAAAUUUAUCAAGGUCUGAGCAUAUAUGAGAGCAUCAGAAGCACAAGAGAAAUUAAAAGACUUCGUAGAAGAUCUGAAGAAAUGUCAACCAUAAGUCAACAUUUUGGAUCAUAAGAAGAGUUGCACCCAGAGGCUUAUAAAGAUCAUAAUAAUCUGAAGGCCAUAUCUGAAGGACAUGUCAGACUUUGUCUUCUUCUCAAGAUGUCACUUUCGGAUAGUACAAUUUGUCUUCUUCUGAAUCACAUGUUAAGUCAAAUUCAAGGGCAAAUGAAAUGAAACGGAUGAUUCUAUUUGCAGCAAUAGAUUUCGAAUGUCUUUUCGAACGACAUUAACCGUAUCAGACAACAUUCCAACAUCUUGAUUUGAUAGCUUCUCAAGGACUCUUAAUGCGCUGACACUUCUCCAACGUCUCUCAAUUCAUUGCAUAUAUAAGGAACUGAAGACUUGAAGAACUCUACAAGACUUUCUAAUUUUAACUUGUGUCCGUACUCUAUCAAAUUCAAAAGCGCAUAAACACUUAAGAAUUUAUUACUAAGUUCAUAUCUUUAGAAAUUCUAAGUCUUAAGAGUCAUACUCUUUUUUUUUUGAAUCGGCAAAUAUUAUUAAACACCAUCCUCGCAAGACGCAAGGUAUGACGAAACAAGAUACAAAUGGUGCCGCAUAUAGACGAUACACCAUAACCACCUAAAAACACCCCUGAAGAUAAACCCACCAAAACAUGUCACCACCUAAAACACC